rnacentral:rRNA from 1 species
ACGGGAGGCAGCAGUGGGGAAUAUUGGGCAAUGGGCGGAAGCCUGACCCAGCAACGCCGCGUGAGGGAAGAAGGUUUUCGGAUUGUAAACCUCUGUCCUUGGUGACGAAGGAAGUGACGGUAGCCAAGGAGGAAGCCCCGGCUAACUACGUGCCAGCAGCCGCGGUAAUACGUAGGGAGCGAGCGUUGUCCGGAAUUACUGGGUGUAAAGGGAGCGCAGGCGGGACUGCAAGUCAGAUGUGAAAACUAUGGGCUCAACCCAUAACGUGCAUUUGAAACUGUAGUUCUUGAGUGAAGUAGAGGUAAGCGGAAUUCCUAGUGUAGCGGUGAAAUGCGUAGAUAUUAGGAGGAACAUCGGUGGCGAAGGCGGCUUACUGGGCUUUUACUGACGCUGAGGCUCGAAAGCGUGGGGAGCAAACAGGAUUAGAUACCCUGGUA